ACGAACGCUGGCGGCGUGCUUAACACAUGCCAGUCGCACGGAAAGGCCCUGCUUUUGUGGGGUGCUCGAGUGGCGAACGGGUGAGUAACACGUGAGUAACCUGCCCUUGACUUUGGGAUAACUUCCGGAAACUGGGGCUAAUACCGGAUAGGAGCUCCUGCUGCAUGGUGGGGGUUGGAAAGUUUCGGCGGUUGGGGAUGGACUCGCGGCUUAUCAGCUUGUUGGUGGGGUAGUGGCUUACCAAGGCUUUGACGGGUAGCCGGCCUGAGAGGGUGACCGGCCACAUUGGGACUGAGAUACGGCCCAGACUCCUACGGGAGGCAGCAGUGGGGAAUAUUGCACAAUGGGCGGAAGCCUGAUGCAGCAACGCCGCGUGCGGGAUGACGGCCUUCGGGUUGUAAACCGCUUUCGCCUGUGACGAAGCGUGAGUGACGGUAAUGGGUAAAGAAGCACCGGCUAACUACGUG
rnacentral:rRNA from 1 species